UAACAGAUGCAAAAUGUAGGACUGACAGGAUGUAUGCCCCUGUAAACAGGAUGGGGCUUAAUCCCUUGGAAAGUAAUGUAAUGCAAUUCAAUGCAAGAUUUCACAGGGACUUUAGGUGAUUUUGUUUCCCAGGAAAACCUAACAGAAUUAUGCAGCUGUACAUCCUUGGGAUGGGCACCAAUAGACCAAAAAAAAAAAAGUAUUAUUUUUCAAAGAGCAGACUAAAUCUCACCUCAUUUCCCCCACGAUAUUUGCUCUCUGCUUUCUAGGAAGAAGAAGCAAAGCACACCAUUGAUGUGUGUGGGUUUGAUGUAGCAUCUUCUAAGAGGUCUACAAAGAGACAUUGCAAAGCCAGGCCUCUAAAUGAUUCCUCUGUGAAACAUUGGGCCAAACAUUCCGUAACCCCUUCCUGCUCUGGUGAUCAUGCUCCCAUGACCAGAUCAUUGAACCAUUCUAGAGACUUCAAAUCCAUUGAGAUGGGAUUAAUGCCUUUGCCUACUCAGGCAGAGGACAGACUGACCAUUGCAAGUGUUCAUCAGCAUUUUCCUGCUCUUAGACGGAAAGGCCAAGGCCACCCCAAGCAUGCUGAAAUUAAUGGGCCAUCGUCAGGAAGGAGUUCACAACUGUAUAUGGAGCCAGAACAAAUGGAGAGACCUCGUUCAGUCGAUGGAUGGUAGCAACAAGGAAGAAAGCAAAUGGAGAAAUGACAUCUCAUGACCCAGGUGAAGCCUACUGUUACUAUUUGGCUAAAAUAAGCCACAUAGCUUGUGUUGAAGAAUCUUUUUUAUUUCUUUAAGAAGAAUUUGGUGCCCAUGAAAGUGAUCAAAGUUUUUUGUUCUCCAGUGACAUCAAGCAGGAGAAAAGGAUAUACUCUCCAUUGUGUGGUCUGUGGACUGGCAGCAUCAUCAUGGGUGAGAAAUGAAAAACGUGGGGUCUUCCCUCACAUGGAUCAGUAUCUGCAGUUUCACAAGCUCCCGAGGGGUGAGUGCACAUGAAGGAUUGAGUAUUGCUCCAAAUAACCAGACCAACAAGGUAAGUGUGGUGCUUUUUGGUUUUACCCGAUUACAGGUGUCCAUUUAGUUGUGAUACAGCAACAGACAUAUUCAUUCCUUCUUGGCUACAUCUUAUUGUUUGGCAAGAUAUCUGUAUUUAGACACAUUACUAUGGUACAGCGGUUCUCAAAGUGUGGUCCACGGACUGGAAGUAUCAGCCUCACUUGGGAAUCUGUUAGAGAUGCAAAUUCUCUGGCCACACCCCAGACCUACUGAAUCAGAAACUCUGGGACUGGGGCUCAAAGUCUGUGUCUUGACCAGCGUUCCAGAUAAUUCUGAUGGGCUGUGGUAGUGAGACCCACUACUGUAGUACCUAGCUGCUCCAAUAAGCAGACAAUCUUGUCAUUAUAAAGCAGUCUACCAGAGUUUGAAGCAGUAGAAAAUCAAUGACUAAUGGAGAACAGGAAUGAUAAUCCAGCUCAGUUUCAUUUUUAUCUUAGAAUUAAUUGGAAAAUGUAUAGGUCGAGUGUUUCUUUCUAAUCUUUCUUUAAAUGCUCGGCCAGUGCCUGGAUUUUUGCCUUUAAUUCUAAUGUCCUCCUUGCUCAGGGAGGAUGCCUUUGGUGGAAGCCAAAGUUACUGCCUAAAAGACCAGUUUACUACAAAUAGGUAAGAAGAAACCUGCCUAAAAUCAAUCACCUACUUUAAGUUAAUCAGAUGUUCUAAGUGGAUGAUUUAUAUGACUCACAAAGGGCAUUUCAAAAAAGUUGCUGUGGACCCAGCUUCAGCAGUGAAUUUUGUGUUCUAGGUGAAUAAAAAGGAAAGUUUUGCAAGCAAAUGCUGACUUGCAGAUGGGCAGGUACUGCAUAGUUCAUGAACAGGAGGCACACCUGCUCUGAAGUUCUGCAGCCAACAAAGCUGUUUAAAGAGAAAGGGAGAAGCAAUCAGUAUUACCCACUGGUGCCUCCAAGAAGUGCCAAAGGAGGUACUUCUCAUUUUAAACAAGUCGAAUAAUAAGGUGCAGAUUAGAAUCAAAUGUGUAGGCAAUCCUUUUUCCUGGGCAGCACUGCCUCCACUCAGAGCCGGUCACAGAUGAGCAAAAUUGACUUCCUGGCUUAUCUCAUUUUCAGUUGAAAAUAUUGUUGAUGCAUUUGCUUCUAUGAAAGCCAGGAAAGUAAAAUUAUAGUAGAUCCAAUUUUAGGUAUGAAGAAAUACUUCAACAUAAAAUAAUGUGAGCUUUAAUACACUGGUCUUUCAAUUUUUCAAUAAUUUCUCAACUUCUUCAAUGGCCCAUAAAAAAAGAACUACAAAAAUAUAUAUAAAGAUAUACGUAUAUCAGGUAGACAUUUUCAGUUUUGCCUUAGGCUUCGAUAAAGAUUGACAAGGUAUUGUUGGGCUACAUCAUUUAUUUAAAAAUCUUGAUAUUUUGUUCAUGAACAUUUUUCCAUUGUUUUUAAAAAUUCAUUAAAAUAUUAUUUAUCUUCAUUACUGAUUUUUGGCACCCUCUUAAAUUAGCCCAAGGCUAGUGCCUUCCUUGUCUCACCCUCGUCCUGGAUCUGCUGCAGAGAAUUGAGUUCAACUUAUUGGGAUGAAAAAAAUUGUUUUUUCUUGUUAAACAUCAUAGUGCAAUGAAGAUAUAUUGGGCUUUUGAAUAAAACGGGACAUCUUUUGAAUCCUUGCUGUCAUUUACUAGUUUGUGAUUUUGUGGAUAUGUAAUACUGUUUGAUGUCCUAACUUCCCUGAAAAUCAGUUUUAUAAGUUAACUUGUGUUUUUAUAUUUGUUAGAUAUUUUUGUUCCAUUAUGUAAAUUGCAUGUUCUCUGAAUAUAUUUCUGCUGGAUUUAUUUAUUUAUUUAUUUAUUUUACUUUAGGUUCUAGGGUCCAUGUGCACAACGUGCAGGUUUGUUACAUAUGUAUACAUGUGCCAUAUUGGUGUGCUGCACCCAGUAACUCGUCAUUUACAUUAGGUAUAUCUCCUAAUACUAUCCCUCCCCCCUCCCCCCACCCCACAACAGGCCCCGGUGUGUGAUGUUUCCCACACUGUGUCCAUGUGUUCUUAUUGUUCAAUUGCCACUUAUGAGUGAGAACAUGCGGUGUUUGGUUUUUUGUCCUUGUGAUAGUUUGCUGAGAAUGAUGGUUUCCAGCUUCAUUCAUGUCCCUACAAAGGACAUGAACUCAUCCUUUUUUAUGGCUACAUAGUAUUCCAUGAUGUAUAUGUGCCACAUUUCCUUAAUCCAGUCUAUCAUUGAUGGACAUUUGGGUUGGUUCCAAGUCUUUGCUAUUGUGAAUAGUGCCACAAUAAACAUAAGCAUGCAUGUGUCUUUAUAGCAGCAUGAUUUAAAUCCUUUGGGUAUAUACCCAGUAAUGAGAUGGCUGGGUCAAAUGGUAUUUCUAGUUCUAGAUCCUUGAGGAAUCGCCACACUGUCUUCCACAAUGGUUGAACUAGUUUACAGUCCCACCAACAGUGUAAAAGUGUUCCCAUUUCUCCACAUCCUCUCCAGCACCUGUUGUUUCCCGACUUUUUAAUGAUCGCCAUUCUAACUGAUGUGAGAUGGCAUCUCAUGGUGGUUUUGAUUUGCAUUUCUCUGAUGGCCAGUGAUGAUGAGCAUUUUUUCAUGUGUCUGUUGGCUGCAUAAAUGUCUUCUUUUGAGCAAUGUCUGUUGAUAUCCUUCACCCACUUUUUGAUGGGGUUGUUUGAUUUUUUCUUGUAAAUUUGUUUAAGUUCUUUAUAGAUUCUGGAUAUUAGCCCGUUGUCAGAUGGGUAAAUUGUAAAAUUUUUCUCCCAUUCUGUAGGUUGCCUGUUUACCCUGAAGGUAGUUUCGUUUGCUGUGCAGAAGCUCUUUAGUUUAAUUAGAUCCCAUUUGUCAAUUUUGGCUUCUGUUGCCAUUGCUUUUGGUGUUUUAGUCAUGAAGUCCUUGUCCAUGCCUAUGUCCUGAAUGGUAUUGCCUAGGUUUUCUUCUAGGGUUUUUAUGGUUUUAGGUCUAAUGUUUAAGUCUUUAAUCCAUCUUGAAUUAAUUUUUGUAUAAGGUUUAAGUAAGGGAUCCAGUUUCAGCUUUCUACACAUGGCUAGCCAGUUUUCCCAGCACCAUUUAUUAAAUAGGGAAUCCUUUCCCCAUUGCUUGUUUUUGUCAGGUUUGUCAAAGAUCAGAUGGUUGUAGAUGUGUGGUAUUAUUUCCGAGGGCUCUAGUCUAUUCCAUUGGUCUAUAUCUCUGUUUUGGUACCAGUACCAUGCUGUUUUGGUUACUGUAGCCUUAUAGUAUAGAAAGAAAAUUCUUUUAUUUAAGAAUGUUGAAUAUUGGCCCCCACUCUCUUCCGGCUUUUAGAGUUUCUGCUGAAAGAUCCGCUGUUAGUCUGAUGGGCUUCCCUUUGUGGGUAACCCGACCUUUCUCUCUGGCUGCCCUUAACAUUUCUUCCUGUGUUUCAACUUUGGUGAAUCUGACAAUUAUGUGUCUUGGAACCAAAAAAGAGCCCACAUUGCCAAGACAAUCCUAAGCCAAAAGAACAAAGCUGGGGGCAUCACGCUACCUGACUUCAAACUAUACUGCAAGGCUACAGUAACCAAAACAGCAUGGUACUUCUUUCCCCAUUUCUUGUUUUUGUCAGGUUUGUCAAAUAUCAGAUGGUUGUAGAUGUGUGGUAUUAUUUCUGAGGGCUCUAUUGUCUCUCUGGAAUCAGUGAGUUCUUGCUCUUUUGGACACAGAGUAGUUCCCACCAAAGCAGGUUGUUAUAAGUGAGACUGCCUCUUGUGUUGGGUCUUUUUGCACAUGCUCACUUGCUUUUUUUUUUUUUUUUUUUGAGAUGGAGUCUUGCUCUGUUGACCAGGCUGGAGUGCAGUGGUGCAUCUUGGCUCACUGCAAGCUCCGCCUCCCAGGUUCACGCCAUUUUCCUGCCUCAGCCUCCUGAGUAGCUGGGACUACAGGCGCCCACCACCACGCCUGGCUAAUUUUUUUUGUAUCUUUAGUAGAGACGGGGUUUCACUGUGUUAGGCAAGAUGGUCUCGAUCUCCUGACCUCAUGAUCCGCCCGCCUCAACCUCCCAAAGUGCUGGGAUUACAAGCGUGAGCCACCGCAUCCAGCCGCUCACUUGCUUUUAUGCUUGUCUGCCGUGUUGCGAGACAGCGUGAGGCCCUUACCAGAGCCUGAGCAGAUGCUGGUGCCAUUCUCUUGAACUUUCCAGCCACCAGAAUCAUAAGCCCAAUAAACCUCUUUUUAAAAUAAAUUAUCUGGUGUCAGGUAUUCUGUUACAGCAACACAAAAUGGACUAUGACACUUUGGUAGAGUCAAACUCACCAAUUUUUCCCAUAUAGUAUAUGCUUUGAAGAAGAUAUUGAAAUUUCUACUUUUAUCAUCCAGUACUCCUACCUUUACUCUUUCUGACCUCCCUUAAUCUUAUGUGCUUUUAGAGGUUUUCCUUAUGAAAUCCUUUUCCUCUGAGAUAAAAAAAAGUCAUUUUUAAUUAGUUUUAUAGUGUAUGUUUCAUAAUUAGGACUCUAAUCCAAGUUGAUUUUCUCUGUUGGAUGAUUUCAUUACAACUUCUUUUAAACAUAUUACUCCAUAUGGUCUGAGUCAAAUAUUCUAACACUUUGUGUAAAAUCAGUUUUUUCUUUUUUUCUACUGAUUCGUGAUGCAAACCCUCUCACAUAUUAUGUUCCCACAUAUACAUGAGUGGCUAACCUCUCUAUCAUGUUCAGUUGCUUUCCUUGAAUGUUCCUAUGCCACAAUGAUACCUUUUUAAUUACUAAGGUUUUGUAAGGAAUUUUACAGCUGAAUUAAUGUCCUUAGUUAGUUGGCUUUGAGUCACUCAAAAGGGAGAUGAUCUUGGAUGGACCUGAUCUAUCAGAUGAGCUUUUGCAAAGAGCAUCUAGACAUCAGAAUCUUGAAGCAGCAGAGAUUCUUUUUAUUGCUGGCUUUGAAGAAGAAAGUUUCCAUGAAUAUUACUGCUACAAAGCCAUUAAUUCUGCCAACAACCAGAGAUUGCUUAAAGACAGAUACUUCCUGAGUCAAGCCUCCAGCUGAGAAUGCAGCUUGGGUGACACCUUGAUUUCAGCCUUGUGAAACCCUGAGGAGAGAACCUGACAGAGCUCUGCCUGAGCUCUGGCCUUUAGAGGUCAGACUCACUUAUUACUGCAAGUGAUAAAUUAAUCCUGUUUUAAGCUAUUAAGUUUGUGACUAUUUGUUAUACAGAAUAGAAAGCUAGUAUGCUAUCUAGAGCUAAUCAGUAUUUAAAACUUUCUACUAAGAUGUGCAUAUUAUUUUCUUUCUCUUCCUCAUCUUCCUCAUCUCCACCAUGUUGGUAUCAUAUAUUUAGUUCAUGAUUGCUGUAAAAAUUUUUAAAAAUGGAUAAUUCAGAAACUUUUUUUUUUUUUUUUACAAUUAAUACCUGUAGCUGACAUUAUUUAUUGCUCAAUAGCCAAAUAUCACUUUCAUCUUAUUUUGAUGUCCUGGCUUGCCAACAGAGACCUAAUUUUGUUCAGUUGUCAGGUGCAGAGCCCUUGGAAAGUAGGUUCGUCUACCAGCUUCACAGGUAAAAUACCGAUUGAUGUAAGUUAAUAAAGACUCAUUCCUAUAUUACAUGGGGCAGUUCCAGCCAAUGAGAUAUAAAGUAGCACUGGGAAAAUAUGUUUUCUUAUUGGUACUGUUUGGCUCCCUUUGUGCCCUUUCAGUCUAAGAUCUUGAAUCUUUUUAAGCUGUGGGACGUAAUUAAAUAUAAUUUCUUCAAGUAUAGCCCACACUCAUUUUACCUUUUCUUUUUACCCUAUAAUUGCACUUAGUUGGAUAUUGAAAUUUCUACUUUUAUCAUCCAGUACUCCUACUUUUACUCUUUCUGACCUCCCUUAAUCUUAUUCAAUGUCCUAUGGGGAGUUUCUGAAAAUCCCCUAGUUCUCUAGUUCUUUCUUCAGUUGAGUCCAUUCUGUUAUUAAAAUCAUCCUCUGAGUUCUUUAUUUCAGCAAUUAUAUUUUUAAUGGCAAAUGUCUCUGGUUGGUUCAUCCUAAUGCUUGUUCAUGCUUCAUAUUGGUAAGAAUUCUCGUUGAAUACCUCAACCCUAUUUAUUAAGCUUAUUUUGAGUUACUAUUUUCUUGUAUCAUUAACUCUGCUUCUGCUGUGUUACAUUGCGAUUUUUAUUGUCUUUUUCUUGUAACUCUUGGCCCUUUAAGUGUCAUAUAAUUUUUCCGUGGGAGGUCAUUUAUAUUGCCUGGAGCUUUCCUUACUGUUCCAGCUACCUUUGGGGAGGACAGAAAGCCUGGAUGUUGCUCAGGGAGUUUAAGGGUUGGAGACUUGGAGGUUGUAAGGGUAUAAGGCCUCCCUUUGCAUUCUGGAAUCUACUACCGUCUGCCUCCUGCACCCCUUCCCUUUUCGAUAGCAUCCUUUGCCUCCCCAGGAAAACUCCCAGUAUCUCUGUCCUAGGUACUGCUCUAUGAAAUUGUAAUUUCUUAGCCAUAAACUGAAAAAUAUGAAGAGAAGUCUCAGAUUCUGAUCAGGCCGCCUUCAUGUUUUGGUGUUGGUCUCCAAUCCAUUCAGGCUCAAGAGCUGCCCCAUGGCUACUGUGGCCUUUGACUGGAGCAUCUGCUCUACCAAUCUUCAGACUUAGAGCAGGUGGGACUUCACUCAGAGCAAUAUAAGGAGAGAGGGGUCCCCCCAGGAAGCUCUCUCCCAGUCUAGCUCCUUGUCCAUAUACCGAGGAUGCAUCUUUCCAGUCCCUGGGGUAAAAUUCUAAAAUGGAAUACCACGUCCUGGUCAUGAGUAGAGAGAAGGAAAUGAUAAGGUGGACUGGGUACGCUGAAAACAAAUUGUAUCAGACUCGUCUCAUUCAGUGCUUUUGAGAGCUACUAUGCUGAAGAUUCAGAAAAUGAGGUACCUCUAGGAGAAAAGAGAAGGGCAUGAUAUCUUUUGAAGCCUUGUCGACUAGAUGAAAAAAUACAAGAAAGAUCAAUGAGUUGUAGGUAUUUUUAGAUGGCUGUUGAGUGGCCCCAGCUAAGUCAGUUAAUUGAUUAAUGUCUACCUGAAGAGGAUUCUAGUAGUGUGCUUCAGGGAUUUGACCUUUGUCCUAUCCUGAUAGUUCAGUAUUAUUUUAUUAAUGACAUGGUGAAAUAUAAAGGCAUAUUCAUAUUUAUAAAUGUUCAAAAGCUAGGAGGGGGGACUGUGCCUAUGUUGUAUGUGAGAAUCUGGUUCUAAAUAAACAUCAAAAAGAUUAGAGAGACUAAUGUAAUAGAAAUUAAUAGGAAUAAGUAUGCGGUUCUAAAAUUUUCCUCCAAAUAUCACAGGAUUAGCACUAGUUAAUGUUGAGCAUUUUAGUUCGCAGUAAGUAAACUUAAUAAUUUGUCAGCCACAUUACACUUAUUAAUAUUAUUGCCAAAAGUUGCAUGUAGAGGAAUACGUUAGAAAAAGGGAGGUAAGAUCUUGCUCUUCCCUGUUCUGGUCAAACUUUACCAAGACAACUUAGUUCCAGUCUGAGUAUCAAGCUUUAAGAGAUAAAAUGAUGCAUUCUGGAAUCCACUACCCAAAAUUCAGCCUCCGCAGUGAAACAGAGUACAUUCAUGGCAUUAUCAGAGCAGUGAAAAUGCUCACAAGCUACGUCACCUAAGGACUCAUUUAAGGAACUUGUGAUUUUCAUCCUGUAAAAAAGGAUGACUGGGAAGGAGACGAACAUCCUCAAGUAAGGGAUGUUGGGAGAAUAAAAAAAAAAAAAGGAAUCAGCUGCAUUUUAUGUGAAUCUUCCAAAGGAUAGGGUUAAGACCAGCGGGUGGAAGUUGCAGAACGACAGAUUUCAGCUCAAUGUGUGGAAAACAUUCGAACAGAGCUUAGCCAUUGGACACUUCAUCUUUGGAAAAGGGUUGACUGAUAAAGGAGAUGUUUAAACCUAAGCCAUAUGGUUCGUUAAAACCACACGGUGGGCAACAGGAGAAGAGAUCAUAAAAUGUUCCUAUAACUCAAAAUUGCUUAGCUGAUUUGAGGAAGCUUCAUGGGGGAGAUAAAAAUGGAGCUGUGCCAGGAAGGACGGACAGAUAGGACUUAGUUCAUGCAUUUUCAACAUGGUGACAUUGCCCUAAGGGAAUGAAAUCGGUUCUUGGAGGGUGAAAAAAUCUUGGCUAUUCAAAUUGUUUGUGACCCUCCUCAGAGCCACAGUACAUAGACAGACAUACAGUAUAUCUUUGAUAUUAAUAUUUCAUGCUGGAAGGAGAGUGGUUAGGGAAAUGCUCUAAAAAGUUUCCUUGGCCAGGGACGGUGGCUCACAUCUGUAAUCCCAGCACUUUGGG